AACUGAUACUACCUGCGGGAACCUGCGGAGGGAUCAUUACCAAGAAAAAACAACCAUAGUGGAUUGUGUGUAUGCCAUACAUGAUGGUAGCAGUUAGCGAUCUAGGUCGCUUUCUUACUAUUAUAUGUGUGCUACCCACUUACUAGAACCAUUCUUAUAGGUUUAACCAAAACGAACACAACUUUCAACAAUGGAUCUCU
rnacentral:misc_RNA from 1 species